ACUAGAGCUAGCCCAAUCCUCACUAAAUAUAAUAACCACAAGAACAUAAAAUAAAACAUUCACAACGAACAAAGUAUAGGAGAUAGAAAUGUUAAUUGGCGCUAUAGAGACAGUACCGCAAGGGAAAGAUGAAAGAUGAGCAAAAAGUAAAAAAUAGCAAAGUUUACCCCUUCUACCUUUUGCAUAAUGAUUUAACUAGACCACGCUGGCAAAGAGAGCUUUAGUCAGCCAACCCGAAACCAGACGAGCUACCCACAGACAGCUUUACAGAGCAAACUCGUCUAUGUGGCAAAAUAGUGAGAAGAGCUAUGGGUAGAGGUGAAAAGCCUACCGAGCCUGGUGAUAGCUGGUUGUCCAGGAAAGGAAUCUUAGUUCAACCUUAAACCUUGCCCAAAACUCUAAUAAUUCUAAUGCAGGUUUAAGAUAUAGUCUAAAAAGGUACAGCCUUUUAGACCCAGGAUACAACCUUAAUUAGAGAGUAAACAUAAAUAACCCCAUAGUAGGCCUAAAAGCAGCCAUCAAUUGAGAAAGCGUUAAAGCUCGACUACUGCAGUUCCCCUAAUACCAAGAGCGGACAUGAACUCCUAAUAUUAAACUGGACUGUUCUAUUAAAUAAUAGAAGCAAUAAUGUUAAUAUGAGUAACAAGAAAUAUUUCUCCCGGCACAAGUCUAUAUCAGAACGGAUAGCCCACUGAUAGUUAACAGCAAGACAAAUGCAGCCCACCCAUAAAUCUGCCUGUCAAAUAUACUGUUGAUCCGACACAGGAGUGCCCCAGGGAAAGAUUAAAAGAAGUAAAAGGAACUCGGCAAACACAAACCCCGCCUGUUUACCAAAAACAUCACCUCUAGCCUAGCCAGUAUUAGAGGCACUGCCUGCCCGGUGACAUCUGUUUUAACGGCCGCGGUAUCCUGACCGUGCAAAGGUAGCAUAAUCACUUGUUCUCUAAAUAGGGACUCGUAUGAAUGGCCACACGAGGGUUUUACUGUCUCUUACUUCCAAUCAGUGAAAUUGACCUUCCCGUGAAGAGGCGGGAAUAAAAUAAUAAGACGAGAAGACCCUAUGGAGCUUUAAUUAACUAACUCAAUAGAGCACAUUUCAACCCAAAAGGAUUAACAAGCCCUUAGUGAGAUAGUAAUUUAGGUUGGGGUGACCUCGGAGUAUAAAAAAACCUCCGAGUGAUUAAGGCCCAGACUCACUAGUCUAAGCCAUAGUAUCACUUAUUGAUCCAAAAACUUGAUCAACGGAACAAGUUACCCUAGGGAUAACAGCGCAAUCCUGUUCUAGAGUUCAUAUCGACAACAGGGUUUACGACCUCGAUGUUGGAUCAGGACAUCCCAAUGGUGCAGCAGCUAUUAAAGGUUCGUUUGUUCAACGAUUAAAGUCCUACGUGAUCUGAGUUCAGACCGGAGUAAUCCAGGUCGGUUUCUAUCUAUUUCAAGUUUUCCCCAGUACGAAAGGACAAGGAAAACAAGGCCACCCUUACAGAGGCGCCUUCGUGCUAACAGAUGACUUUAUCUCAACCUGGUACGCACUGACUAUCAUGCCCAAGAGCAGGGCUC
rnacentral:rRNA from 1 species